rnacentral:lncRNA from 11 species
GCAGUAUUCCCAGACAGGUGUACCAAUGCCUGUUGCUAGGUGAAGUGUCUUCCCAAGAUGGAGAUGAAACAGAACACAGAGGGGAGAAAGAAGGGUAACUUAGACUAUGGAGAUGUUGAAGACAUGGCUGAGACAUCCCAAGGAGCUCUACAACUUGGUAUGGUUCAAGAUGGGCGGUUACAAGACCAUGAUGCCGAAGAUGGACCAGGUGAGUUCUGUGUCAUUGGGCACUUCUUCUGUUCCCCUUUCUAAAUUAGUU